GGAGACUGCCGGUGAUAAACCGGAGGAAGGUGGGGACGACGUCAAGUCAUCAUGGCCCUUACGAGUAGGGCUACACACGUGCUACAAUGGCGCAUACAGAGGGCAGCCAACUUGCGAAAGUGAGCGAUCCCAAAAAGUGCGUCGUAGUCCGGAUUGGAGUCUGCAACUCGACUCCAUGAAGUCGGAAUCGCUAGUAAUCGUGGAUCAGAAUGCCACGGUGAAUACGUUCCCG
rnacentral:rRNA from 1 species